rnacentral:rRNA from 1 species
AGAGUUUGAUCCUGGCUCAGAUUGAACGCUAGCGGGAUGCCUUACACAUGCAAGUCGAACGGCAGCGCGGACUUCGGUCUGGCGGCGAGUGGCGAACGGGUGAGUAAUGUAUCGGAACGUGCCCAGUAGCGGGGGACAACCACUCGAAAGAGUGGCUAAUACCGCAUACGCCCUACGGGGAAAGGGGGGAUCGCAAGACCUCUCACUAUUGGAGCGGCCGAUAUCGGAUUAGCUAGUUGGUGGGGUAAAGGCCUACCAAGGCGACGAUCCGUAGCUGGUUUGAGAGGACGACCAGCCACACUGGGACUGAGACACGGCCCAGACUCCUACGGGAGGCAGCAGUGGGGAAUUUUGGACAAUGGGGAAACCCUGAUCCAGCCAUUCCGCGUGUGCGAUGAAGGCCUUCGGGUUGUAAAGCACUUUUGGCAGGAAAGAAAUCGUGUGGGUUAAUACCCUGCGCGGAUGACGGUACCUGCAGAAUAAGCACCGGCUAACUACGUG